ACAUUGGUGGAAGGCGUGGUA
rnacentral:miRNA from 1 species